GGGUUGUGAGGUUAAGCGACUAAGCGUACACGGUGGAUGCCCUGGCAGUCAGAGGCGAUGAAGGACGUGCUAAUCUGCGAAAAGCGUCGGUAAGGUGAUAUGAACCGUUAUAACCGGCGAUGUCCGAAUGGGGAAACCCAGUGUGAUUCGUCACACUAUCGUUAACUGAAUACAUAGGUUAACGAGGCGAACCGGGGGAACUGAAACAUCUAAGUACCCCGAGGAAAAGAAAUCAACCGAGAUUCCCCCAGUAGCGGCGAGCGAACGGGGAGCAGCCCAGAGUCUGAAUCAGCUUGUGUGUUAGUGGAACGGUCUGGAAAGUCCGACGGUACAGGGUGAUAGUCCCGUACACCAAAAUGCACAGGUUGUGAACUCGAAGAGUAGGGCGGGACACGUGGUAUCCUGUCUGAAUAUGGGGGGACCAUCCUCCAAGGCUAAAUACUCCUGACUGACCGAUAGUGAACCAGUACCGUGAGGGAAAGGCGAAAAGAACCCCGGCGAGGGGAGUGAAAAAGAACCUGAAACCGUGUACGUACAAGCAGUGGGAGCACCUUCGGGUGUGACUGCGUACCUUUUGUAUAAUGGGUCAGCGACUUAUAUUCUGUAGCAAGGUUAACCGUAUAGGGGAGCCGCAGGGAAACCGAGUCUUAACUGGGCGUUAAGUUGCAGGGUAUAGACCCGAAACCCGGUGAUCUAGCCAUGGGCAGGUUGAAGGUUGGGUAACACUAACUGGAGGACCGAACCGACUAAUGUUGAAAAAUUAGCGGAUGACUUGUGGCUGGGGGUGAAAGGCCAAUCAAACCGGGAGAUAGCUGGUUCUCCCCGAAAGCUAUUUAGGUAGCGCCUCGUGAACUCAUCUUCGGGGGUAGAGCACUGUUUCGGCUAGGGGGUCAUCCCGACUUACCAACCCGAUGCAAACUACGAAUACCGAAGAAUGUUAUCACGGGAGACACACGGCGGGUGCUAACGUCCGUCGUGAAGAGGGAAACAACCCAGACCGCCAGCUAAGGUCCCAAAGUCAUGGUUAAGUGGGAAACGAUGUGGGAAGGCACAGACAGCCAGGAUGUUGGCUUAGAAGCAGUCAUCAUUUAAAGAAAGCGUAAUAGCUCACUGGUCGAGUCGGCCUGCGCGGAAGAUGUAACGGGGCUAAACCAUGCACCGAAGCUGCGGCAGCGACACUAUGUGUUGUUGGGUAGGGGAGCGUUCUGUAAGCCUGCGAAGGUGACCUGUGAGGGUUGCUGGAGGUAUCAGAAGUGCGAAUGCUGACAUAAGUAACGAUAAAGCGGGUGAAAAGCCCGCUCGCCGGAAGACCAAGGGUUCCUGUCCAACGUUAAUCGGGGCAGGGUGAGUCGACCCCUAAGGCGAGGCCGAAAGGCGUAGUCGAUGGGAAACAGGUUAAUAUUCCUGUACUUGGUGUUACUGCGAAGGGGGGACGGAGAAGGCUAUGUUAGCCGGGCGACGGUUGUCCCGGUUUAAGCAUGUAGGCUGAUUAUCCAGGCAAAUCCGGAUAAUCAAGGCUGAGGUGUGAUGACGAGGCACUACGGUGCUGAAGUAACAAAUGCCCUGCUUCCAGGAAAAGCCUCUAAGCAUCAGGUAACAUUAAAUCGUACCCCAAACCGACACAGGUGGUCAGGUAGAGAAUACCAAGGCGCUUGAGAGAACUCGGGUGAAGGAACUAGGCAAAAUGGUGCCGUAACUUCGGGAGAAGGCACGCUGGUGUGUAGGUGAAGUCCCUGCGGAUGGAGCUGAGACCAGUCGAAGAUACCAGCUGGCUGCAACUGUUUAUUAAAAACACAGCACUGUGCAAACACGAAAGUGGACGUAUACGGUGUGACGCCUGCCCGGUGCCGGAAGGUUAAUUGAUGGGGUUAUCCGUAAGGAGAAGCUCUUGAUCGAAGCCCCGGUAAACGGCGGCCGUAACUAUAACGGUCCUAAGGUAGCGAAAUUCCUUGUCGGGUAAGUUCCGACCUGCACGAAUGGCGUAAUGAUGGCCAGGCUGUCUCCACCCGAGACUCAGUGAAAUUGAACUCGCUGUGAAGAUGCAGUGUACCCGCGGCAAGACGGAAAGACCCCGUGAACCUUUACUAUAGCUUGACACUGAACAUUGAGCCUUGAUGUGUAGGAUAGGUGGGAGGCUUUGAAGCGUGGACGCCAGUCUGCGUGGAGCCAACCUUGAAAUACCACCCUUUAAUGUUUGAUGUUCUAACGUUGGCCCCUGACCGGGGUUGCGGACAGUGUCUGGUGGGUAGUUUGACUGGGGCGGUCUCCUCCCAAAGCGUAACGGAGGAGCACGAAGGUUAGCUAAUCCUGGUCGGACAUCAGGAGGUUAGUGCAAUGGCAUAAGCUAGCUUGACUGCGAGCGUGACGGCGCGAGCAGGUGCGAAAGCAGGUCAUAGUGAUCCGGUGGUUCUGAAUGGAAGGGCCAUCGCUCAACGGAUAAAAGGUACUCCGGGGAUAACAGGCUGAUACCGCCCAAGAGUUCAUAUCGACGGCGGUGUUUGGCACCUCGAUGUCGGCUCAUCACAUCCUGGGGCUGAAGUAGGUCCCAAGGGUAUGGCUGUUCGCCAUUUAAAGUGGUACGCGAGCUGGGUUUAGAACGUCGUGAGACAGUUCGGUCCCUAUCUGCCGUGGACGCUGGAGAAUUGAGGGGGGCUGCUCCUAGUACGAGAGGACCGGAGUGGACGCAUCACUGGUGUUCGGGUUGUCAUGCCAAUGGCACUGCCCGGUAGCUAAAUGCGGAAGAGAUAAGUGCUGAAAGCAUCUAAGCACGAAACUUGCCCCGAGAUGAGUUCUCCCUGAGACUUUAAGUCUCCUGAAGGAACGUUAAAGACGAUGACGUUGAUAGGCCGGGUGUGUAAGCGCAGCGAUGCGUUGAGCUAACCGGUACUAAUGAACCGUGAGGCUUAACCUUACAACGCCGAAG
rnacentral:rRNA from 2 species